UACGGAGGGAACAAGUGUUAUUCGGAUUAAUGGGUGUAAAACGCGGGUAGAUGGCUUUAUUUGCUUAUUAUAAAAGUUCUUUAGCGAAGGAGUUAAAGGGUAUAAUAAGGACGGUGAGGCUUGAGUAUUAAUAAUACAACAGUAUUUUAAGUGUAAAGUGAAAAUUUCAAAUAUUUAAAAGACUAGCACUUGGCGAAAGCGGUGUUAAGUAAUAUACUGACAUUGAGACGCUAAAGCUUAGUAGCAAAUAGG
rnacentral:rRNA from 1 species